GUUUUUUCAAACACCUUGCCCACCUUCUGCACACCAAGCGUGGAUUCUGCAAAAUGUGAGCCCAACAGGAAGCUGCCUGCAAUUUCAGGUAGCUUUUCUGACUCUUAAAGAGAUCUCAAGUAUACUUUCAGAGAAAUGCCAGCAAAAACUGUAGUCAUUUGGGAAGGAAUAAGCCUGGAAGAAAAAGAUACAACGAACUAGCACAACGAGGAGUUUGAAAAGUUCAUGACAGCUCACAGCUGAUGAUGGUGGCAAUCUUAAGGAUACAGAAAGCUCAUUCCUCAUGCAGGGAAGAAGAAAAUAUUCUAAAGAACAGAUAAGCAUAUUCCAUGAAAUCAAAAAAGCAUAAAACGCUGGAGGAGAAGUCAGUAGCAAGCAGCUAAAACAACAUGGUACAUUUGGCUAGAAGCCCACCAACUGCUAACAACCAGCUGGAGGCUUGAAGAACUCCCUGUAGCAUUUCUUAUAAGACAGGCCUGGUGGUGAUCAACUUCCUCAGCUGACACUUCGGCGUAGAUUUCUUCCACUCAAUAUGAGUCAAUAUUGGAUCCAUGCCCCCACGCUAUUUUGACUUCCGGAACUCCUGACAUCAUGCAAGCCAAACCUACGGAAGAAGCAUGACAUACAGAAUAGAAGUCCACACGGAGUCAGAUUUUCCCCGCAAUUUGACUCAUGAAAUCCCAUGAGCAGCCAGACAGAGUUUACAUAGGGCAAAUAUCACCAUUACCUAGCAAGAACAAAAUAAGAGGAACAAGCAGUCCCCUUGUAUUUUGGUUACUUAAAAGGGUUGGAUCUCAAGACAAAGGAAAAUGGUUGGGUGCACGAGGGGCCAGAUGCUGGAACCAGUUCUGAAGAAGUGUUCCCGGGGCCAAGAGGAUCUGAGAGGUGGCCAGGUGUGAAGACUGAACAAGCUGAGUGUUAAGAACAGCAAAGUUGGCCAGGCAUGGUGGUGCAUACCUGUAGUCUCAGCUCCCUGGGAGGCUGAGGUGGGAGGAAUAUGAAGGCCCAGGAGUUCAAAUCCAGCCUGGGCACCACAAUGAGACCCUGUCUUUAAAAAAAAAAUCAGCAAGCUGGGAAAUAAACUUGGGGCACACUGGGCACUUCCUCAUGAAGAAACCAAAAUCUCCUGCCUUGGCAAGCUUCAGGAGCCAUAUAAGGACUGAGCCAGCCUCACCCAUUACACUGUGUAGGGCCACUCUUCAGCAACGACAUCAUGUGGCAGAAGAAAACAUGGCCAUAGAGGAUUCCUUCAUUGUGCAAUUACCUAUAAGAAGAAGAAAAGGAAGAAAAGAGGAAGAAGAACGAGGAGGAGGAGGAGGUCUAAAAAGGAAAUGCUUAAAUUCUUCCUGAAAGGAGUGGGAAGAAGAGGCAGCUUGGAGAAGCUUUGAGCAGGUCCUGAAUAGGCAAGUGAGGGGCUUGCCUUAACCCUACAGGAUUCUCAGUCUCCACGUCUACCUCCCACAACAUGUGCAAAUGCUUACAUUCAUGAGUCUCACUGUCACCCAGGUUUGAAUGCCAUGGCACGAUCUUGGCUCACUGCAACCUCCACCUCCCGGGUUCAAGCGAUUCUCCUGCCUCAGUCCCAAGUAGCUGAGAUUGCAGACGUGCGCCACCAAGCUCGAUUAAGUUUUGUAUUUUUAGUAGAGACAGGGUCUCACUAUGUUGGCCAGGCUGGUCUCAAACUCCUGACCUCAGGUGAUCGGCCCGCCUCGGCCUCCCAAAGUGCUGGGAUUACAGGCAUGAGCCAAUACGCCCGGCCUAUUUUUGAGAUUUUCUGCUGCUACUCCAGCUUAGCCUGACAGAGCUUUCACUUUUUGUUCCUACCCCUUCGUGUGCAUCUGAACAAUCCACAAGCCUCACGAACUCCUGUAGCUUCCCUCCCUUCGAGCUGUAUCCACCAUGACCUCUUGACCAGGGCUGAGGGAGAAGGACGAGGGUCGUGCCACUAUCCUAGCACCCUCUGUCAAGAGCCACAGUCAUCAGAACCAUGGAGUGACUGACUGGAGAGAAGCAGCAAGAGACGGCCAGACAAAACAUCUUAAUGGGAUACUUAGUCUCUUUGUUUCAUCCAAGAGGGAUCUACCAAAAGGGAUCACCUCCUACAAAUGCUAAAUGGGUUUAAGGUUUAUACAGCAGCUCAUGUGGGUUCAGGGAUGCACAGGCAUUUCCCAAUGUGUCAUCAUCCCUGGUUCUGAUAAAAUCCAGAGUGGGGCCUGUAAAUCAGAGGGCUUCACCCCUGAACCCACAGCAGCACCACCAAGACACAGUGUCCCCACUGUGCACAAGAUUACAGCUUCUCUCUUGCUGCCCUUUCAAUAUACCAGUCCUUACUCAAGCACACAAAAACUGUGCUUUUGCCCCUGGCAUUUGAGAAGUUUGUGAAUAGACACCAGCACUUGGAUAUUGAUUUUUCACACGAUGGUGACUUUUAAAUUCCUCUAUUGCUCCUGACUGAGUUUAGCAACCUCUUGACUAUUCUGGAAAACCAAAGAACUUCGGAAACAAUCAAACAAAUAUUAAAUUCAAUCACCCAGCAACACUGGGGAGGCAAAUGAAAUUUUACUCCUAAGAAUCUAAAGCCCCCAUAGUAAAUAUUUCUUUGCUGACUGGCAAAUGAAUGUUUCUCAGCCCUUCUCAUGUCUGGAGACACCAAGUAAUGGGACAGCUCUUAAGCUGUCCCCAUGGUUUGUGACCAAGACUGGGGGCUACUUUGGCCUUCGUGGAAGUCCAGCACACUUCAACUGAGCUGCCAGUGGUGCCGAAUCCUGGAAAAUGCUGAGAGCCCUAAAAGUGGAUCAAGGAAAGGCUGUCAGUGCAUCAUCUCCCCCAGUCCUUGGCAAAGCCAGGGAGCAGGUUCCUGAUCCCCCAGAUUCCAGCUCUUCCUAAUGUUUCUCAGGAAAGAAGACUGCCCUGCUGCUGAUGGCCCAGGAGCCUGCCCAGAAAGCUCUGGGUAAAAAGCAAGAUGAAAAGAGUCCUCCAGUCUCCCCUCACCAAUGCCCUGCAGCUCACCACACCUUUCCUGUCCUGUAUACUUGUCUAGGAAUGACAUCCCCAGAAGAGAUCAGACAUGGUACCACAGUGUGUUGAUGGGGAAAGGCAGAAAGGGAUCACUUUGGAAUAUGAAAUCAAUCAAGAGAGGGUAGUUCCUAGGGAACAGCCUGAUGACCCCAUGACUGAAACGAAGAACUAGGUGGUGGGAAAGCAAUGAAGAGAAAAGUUUCCAGAGACACAAUCCAUGAAGACCUUGGUGAAGUCCCACCUAUUAAUACAAAAGGUGCCAAGUCCCAGAAUUGUCAGCGUGCAGCAGGGGCACAAUGAAAGCCUUGUGGGAAUGAAUUGGCUGGUGGCCUAGGAUGUGCCAUCAGAAGCUAUUCCUGUUUUCCAUGCUGUAUGCCAAUAGCACUGAGCAGAGUCCCUUUAAUGCAAAACAAUGGUUAGGCCAUAUUACUCAUUUAACUGAAGGGCUAAGUAUGUAGAUGGGGUUUUUAGACAUUAUGAAAAGUUGACUGUGGUGGAAUUUGAACUGCAUUUAGCCUUUCAUUUGGCUUCUAUGAACUUUCCUAGUUCUACGGCACCCUGAAGCUGUGUUAUCAAGAUUCAGCAUCAUUUGAUCUUGGUUGCUUGUGGUCUUAGUGGCUUGGGUUUCCUGUCAAAGGCAUUCCUGGUAAAUUAUUCCAAGGGUUAGUUACUUUGUGCAUCUUAUUUGCUGUUAUCUUGUAGUUACCCCUUGCACUCCAUGAAAUUCUAGCAUGCUGUCAUGAAAAGGACACCCAGGAGAAAGAAACACAAUUUAUUUAAUUAAAAUCAAAAUGUGUUAAGUACUAAGUUCACACUGGGCAUAAUUAACAAUUUUCAAACACUUAAACAGACAAUCAUAUACAUAACAUCUAUUUAAGUCUCAGUAACAUUACAUUGCAUUCCAGAAAUCUGUCAUUCCCCCUCCACCCCCCACAUCCCCCUCCACACACAAAUAUUACAUGAGUUAAUUCAGGUUACAUACUUUAAAUUAAGUUGACACAAUGUACUUGUGAAUGACAAAACAUGUUCAGAAUGGAAACAUUAUUUGAAAACACAGAAAAUAUGCAAAUUAGUGACAACUUAUAUCCAAAACGUUAUUAUACUAAAUCCUUCUUGUCUAUUCUGAAUCACCUAACAUGCUGUCAGUAUUAUGUUAAAAAGUUUUUAAAAGAAAUAGACUGUUAUAAACAUAUUUCUAGCAGUUCUUAUUGUAUUUCAAAAUAACUGUAAAAUCAAUGUACUUGGCUUUGGUUUACUGACUGCUUUCCAAUAAUUUUUUAAUCCAGGAAAGAAGAAUAUCCAGUUCACUGAUGGCUUUGUAGAUUCCUUUGUUUCCAAUCUGCAGAUAAAGUACAGAUAUAAGAGAAUAAAGUUUUCAUAUUUUAAAAAACAAA